rnacentral:snRNA from 1 species
AGUAACAGGACAAGGCAAGUAA